rnacentral:rRNA from 1 species
GUCCACGCCCUAAACGAUGUCUACUAGUUGUCGGGUUUAAUUAACUUGGUAACGCAGCUAACGCGUGAAGUAGACCGCCUGGGGAGUACGGUCGCAAGAUUAAAACUCAAAGGAAUUGACGGGACCCGCACAAGCGGUGGAUGAUGUGGAUUAAUUCGAUGCAACGCGAAAACCUUACCUACCCUUGACAUGGCUGGAAUCCCGGAGAGAUUUGGGAGUGCUCGAAAGAGAACCAGUACACAGGUGCUGCAUGGCUGUCGU